AUGGAUUUAGUAAUCAAAGGUCAAAACAAAAUCACUGUUCUGCAGAAUUCAUAGGGUCGGGUUCAACAGAUAACAGGAUAGGCAUAUGAAUUCCAAAUUUAUCACUCUAUGUGUCAAAAGAAAGGUUUACAAGUCUAGUUUCGAAUGAAGUCAGUUUUGUACAAAUCAGAAUUUCCAACAGGAACUUAUAGGUAUUUUAGU
rnacentral:lncRNA from 1 species